UGAGGAAUAUUGCACAAUGGGCGAAAGCCUGAUGCAGCAACGCCGCGUGCGGGACGAAGGCCUUCGGGUUGUAAACCGCUUUUCUGAGGGACGAGCAAGGACGGUACCUCAGGAAUAAGUCUCGGCUAACUACGUGCCAGCAGCCGCGGUAAAACGUAGGAGGCGAGCGUUAUCCGGAUUUACUGGGCGUAAAGCGUACGCAGGUGGCUGUGUAAGUCGGACAUGAAAGCUCCUGGCUUAACUGGGAGAGGUGGUUCGAAACUGCAUAGCUUGAGGUUGGGAGAGGGACGUGGAAUUCCCGGUGUAGUGGUGGAAUGCGUAGAUAUCGGGAGGAACACCAGUGGCGCAAGCGGCGUCCUGGCCCACACCUGACGCUGAGGUACGAAAGCGUGGGUAGCAAACA
rnacentral:rRNA from 1 species